AGCCUCAUGGGCAGAGGUCCUGGCCAGUGCUGCCUGCCGUGGCCGGGUCUCCAGGCCUGGCUCUCACCCCAGGACGCUUGCGUCUUUAGGGGGAUUCUGUUGAGACAGGAGUCCUGGGGUCAGGAUUUCUCUCAGAAAGUUCCUGUAGGCUCCCAAGUGACUGCAUGCAGGACUUUGUGUGGCCUUGGGGACGACUCAGUUGGCUUAAGGAAUAGUUAUCUUAGGCAGGGACUGCUGGUCAGUGCAGAGACAUUCACAGGGAUCUGUGGGACCCUGUCCCCGGUCCCUCCGCCUGCUGUGGCAGAGUUUCUUAAACUGGGUAAGUUUUGUCAACGACGGCCUUGUUUCUUCAGAAGCUCUUAACUGUGCGGUGACACAUGCCUGUCAUCCCAGCAGCUCAGGAGGCUGAGGCAGGAGGAUCGCAAAGUGGAGGCCAGCCUCAGCCACUCAUUGAGGCCCCAAGCAGCUCAGCGAGAACCUGUCUCUAAAUAAAAUACAGAAUAGGGCUGGGGACGGGGCUCAGGGGUUAGGGCCCCUGUGUUCAGUCCCUGGCACCAAAAAAAAAAAGCAUUUUUAACCAGUGUUGCCCUUGGUGACCUUGAGAGGCCUCUAAGUCCUGCCUGCUUCCCUCCUGAGCGCGUCCCCCACCGUGAGCUCAGGGCCCUGGCUGACCACUUCAGAUGCAGGGAGACUUAGAAACACACAUGGACACCUGCUGUGCCGCUGCAGCUGUCUCCCCUCUAUCUGACCCUUUGUUCCCUGUGACUAGGGACACCCCUCCCCGCCCCAUCCCUCCCACGCCCUGUCCCUGAGCACCAUUAUCCUGCUUCCCCUUUCUAGAAGUUCCACUGUUAGACGCCACAGAAGGGCGCUCUUGGGGGAUUGAUGUGUUAAUUCGUCCUGUUCAGUCACUCUUGGUGAUAGAUGCCACUGUCACACUGUCACACUGAGAAUGACAUUGAUGGGGAUGUAGAGAAAAUGCAGGGUCUGCAGCGCUUGCCCCUCUGAGGUCUCUGUGUCGGCUGUCGGCUGUCACCGGGCCUCUUUGGUUCCGCCUCUCAGUGUGACUGCACCCUCCAGUGUCUCCUUGGCCACACCAGGCCACACCAGGCCACCGGUGGGAAUCCGGGACAAAAAGAAAACUGGCUUGUUCACACAGUGGAUCAGCCAGUGAAUGACGGGGGAGCAGAGAGUCCUUGGGACAAAAGAAAAUAAAACAGGGACCCAAACUUGGAAGUGUGGCAAGAGCAUUGGGUUCCAGGGGGCGCAGAGCUGCGGCUGCUGAGUCAAAAAGACUGAGAGCUCGACUCAGCAACUAAGUCCAGUACUUACAGAAACAGAAAAAGAACAGGCUAAACCCAGUGCCGUCUCGCAGAAGAAAAGCACUCAGAUCAGAUCAGAGGAGAGCCGGGCGCCAGGGCCCACGCCUCUCAUCCCAGCGGCUCAGGAGGCUGAGGCAGGAGGAUGGUGAGUUGGAGGCCAGCCUCAGCAAUGGCCAGGCCCUACAGAUCUCAGUGAGACUCUGGCUCUCAUAAAAUACAGAAUAGGGCUGGGGAUGUGCUCAGGGUCCAGGGCCCCUGAGCUCAAUCCCUGUUCCUCCCCCAGCAAAAGAAAAUAAGAGGAAAUUAACGAAACCAAACGUUGGAUCUUUUGAAGGAUCAAUAAAACUGAGACCCCUUUGGCUAGAUCGUCUCAGAUAAAGGACUGGUCGCUAAAAUCAGGUGUGAGCCACAGGACGCCAUUGCUACAGAGAUAAACAGAUCCAUGAGAGUCUUUUUCCGGGGACAUCAUCGUCCAUGGAGAAAACCCCCCGAGGUCCUAAAGAGGAGCCAAAGGACCAAAGUGAACCCAGCCGAGGGGCAGGAAUGUGGACCGUCCAGGACCCGAGUGGGCCAAGCCCUCUUGGGAGAGGGCAGACGNUGUC
rnacentral:lncRNA from 1 species